UCCAGGGUAGCCUAGUGGACAUGGCAUCUGCCCAGUAAGCGGAACACUGUGUGUUCGAUUCCCAUCCCUGGAU
rnacentral:tRNA from 1 species